rnacentral:rRNA from 1 species
GACGAACGCUGGCGGCGUGCUUAACACAUGCAAGUCGAACGACGUGGCGCACGGGUGAGUAACGCGUAAUCAAACUGCCCUUCACAGGUGGAACACAGUUGGAAACGACUGCUAAUACCGCAUACUGAAGGAGGGGAUUGCGUCUGAUUAGCUAGUUGGAGGGGUAACGGCCCACCAAGGCGAUGAUCAGUAGCCGGUCUGAGAGGAGGACCGGCCACAUUGGGACUGAGACACGGCCCAGACUCCUACGGGAGGCAGCAGUGGGGAAUCUGCCGCAAUGGACGAAAGUCUGACGGAGCAACGCCGCGUGAGUGAUGACGGCCUUCGGGUUGUAAAGCUCUGUUAAUCGGGACGCGGUACCGGAAUAGAAAGCCACGGCUAACUACGUGCCAGCAGCCGCGGUAAUUC